GAAAGAGAAGGAGGAGGAGGAGGAGCAGGACCAGGAGCAGGAGCACGUGGAAGAAGAAGAGAAGACCCACAGGGCCCAGGACAUCUCAUUCAGCCAAGACACACUAAAUCUGCUCACAAAUGACUCCAAGUGAACCCAGCUUCUUGGAUCCCUUUGACUUGGGGUGACCUCUACUAAGCCACAAAGCCAGAAAGGUCCAGGCCAGGGCCCUGCUUGGCCUGCCUCUUUGACAUAUUCGCAGGCACAGGCCUUGGGAAUGACUGACUGGCCUUCAGGGUGGAGUAGGAAGGGUUUGUUGAGCCCCUUCACACUAGUACUUUUUCCAGUCAUUGAGGUACCUCUGAAUAUACAAAUCAAGCAGAGGCCCUGGUGGUAGGGAGAAGGGGAAUUACGUGAAAUGAUCCUGGAAAAGGACCAGGGCAUUUGAAGUGCACAGGGGGCGAAAUGUGUGUGUGUGUGUGUACAUACUAGUACACAUGUGUGUCUGCACACACAGUUAUGCCUGCCUGCACUUGGGUUAGCAGUUAAUAAAGAUCUUGAUCUGGUAGCAGGGAAACCCAACAAUACAGGAAGAAAAGAUAAAGGCAGACUUGGCUUUGAAAUGAGCUCACGUUUGGAGGAGGCAAGGUUUUACUAUUGCUGGUGCCUGAGGCCAGGGAAAUCGGGGAGCCACAAAGGGGUUAACAACUGGCGAUUCAACAACUGAGGAGGGGCAUCUGCCUCAGAAAGGGCCCUGCCUCUGGACCUUCUCCAUUUCGGCGUCACCCCAACCAUUGCUCCUUUGACCAUAAUCCCAGGGACCUUCCCGAAGCAGGGGGUGGGUUGUGCCUCUCCUCACAAAUCUUCGGUUCACUCCCUGCCCUUCAGAGUGCUCUUCAGACCCUUUGCAUGACAUUAAAGAACCACCUUAUUGGUGUCCCAAA